UACGUAGGGUGCGAGCGUUAAUCGGAAUUACUGGGCGUAAAGGGUGCGCAGGCGGCCUUGUAAGUCAGAUGUGAAAGCCCCGGGCUUAACCUGGGAAUUGCGUUUGAAACUACAAAGCUAGAGUGCAGCAGAGGGGAGUGGAAUUCCAUGUGUAGCAGUGAAAUGCGUAGAGAUGUGGAAGAACACCGAUGGCGAAGGCAGCUCCCUGGGUUGACACUGACGCUCAUGCACGAAAGCGUGGGGAGCAAACAGGAUUAGAUACCCUGGUAGUCCACGCCCUAAACGAUGUCAACUAGUUGUCGGGCCUAAUUGAGGGUUUGGUAACGUAGCUAACGCGUGAAGUUGACCGCCUGGGGAGUACGAUCGCAAGAUUAAAACUCAAAG
rnacentral:rRNA from 1 species